AAAAAGACAAACCCUGGGUUUCCGUGUCCAACUUUAACUGUCUGUCUUAUAUGAAAUUUUUUUAUAAUUCGUAUUUUUAUUGUUGUUAGAUGAUAAAACAUGAUUAAUAUUUUAUGCGUGACUUAUCUUUUUAAUUUUUUCAUAAUUUUUUCAAAUAAGACGAACAGUCAAACGUUGGGCACGAAAACCAGGGUUUGUCUUUUU
rnacentral:pre_miRNA from 1 species